CCCCCGAUAGCUCAACGGUAGAGCAUUCGCCUGUAGAGCGAAGGGUUGCUGGUUCAAAUCCGGCUCGGGGGA
rnacentral:tRNA from 1 species